AUCUAGAUAAUGCCCUGUGGUAUCUGGUAGCCAGAAUUCUAAUUCUGUUUCUGGUUACUUCGUUUUUACACGGGCAGAAAGUGAAUCUCCUACAGGUCUUGCGACACAGUUUGCUUUUGAUUUGAUAAGCUUACUGUUACUUUAACCCUGUUGACAUUUCUCAUCUAUCUCAUUCGUCAAAAAGCUUGUUUUGAUUCUCUGAUGAUUAUGCUUAAUCUUCAUUCUCUGAUUGUUCUUUUGUUUUUCAAUUGUUAUUGUUCAGGAAAGCUGGAGGAGGCCUAAGGGUAUUGACUCCCGGGUGAGAAGAAAGUUCAAGGGUGUCACCUUGAUGCCCAAUGUUGGUUACGGAUCUGAUAAGAAGACCCGCCACUACCUCCCAAAUGGAUUCAAGAAGUUCAUUGUUCACAACACCUCUGAGCUCGAGCUACUCAUGAUGCACAACAGGUAACUAUUAUGACUCCUUGGUGUUAUACACCACAAGGAUUUGAUAGAUUUUUUAAAGCAAGAUUCUCAUGGUGUGUUUUGCUUUGGAUUUUUCACAGGACUUACUGUGCAGAGAUUGCUCACAAUAUCUCAACAAAGAAGAGAAAGGCCAUAGUGGAGAGAGCUUCUCAGCUAGACGUUGUUGUUUCCAACAAGCUUGGUAGGUUGCGUAGCCAGGAAGACGAGUGAAAGCCCUAAAAGAUAUCAUCUAGGGUUUUUCUUUUAUCUGUCGUUAACUAUUCCGAAUUAUCUUCUUUUUUUUUUUUUUUUGCGUUUUGGAGAGUGGCUGAAUGAUAUUACAACUUGGGUUCUCGUUUUUAUGAUAUUAAUUCAGAAUCAGACACAGUCUCAGACCAUAAUUUAUUCCUCAAUUUAUACCUAAAUUUUCAGACCAUCGAAAUUUAACUUGAGUUCAAAACUUUUAUCGAUACUGCCAAGUGUAACUAAGUUAGGAUAGCUGAGAGAGACACACUCCAUUUCGUGCUUUAAUCCCCACGUUGUCCAGAAAGACUCGAUGAGAGAAUCUCAAUCUUGUUCCAUCUCCUCACGUGAGUCGUUACACCAAGAUGAUUUGGGGAUACACGAGGAACAAAAAAUUAGUUGAUGCGUUGAAUCUGUUCGACGAAAUGCCUGAGAGAGAGAUGUAAGGAGAUGAAUGUAGUUGCUGUGAAGCUAGGUUCAAGGGUCGAUUCCUUUGUGGCUAAUUCUGUGGUUGUGAUGUUCAGUGGAAACAUGAACGACGCCGUUUCAGUGUUCAUAGAUAAUUGGAGGAAGAACCUUGUCUCGUGGAGUUCAUCCAUCGUGGGUUUCUACAAAAAGGAAGAAAGCUUUUUGGUUACUUGUCAAGCGGACCAAAUCAUAUCUAGAAAGAUUAAACACUACACUUGUAAGGUAUAUAUCUUGGGAAGAAAAAUAGAUGUUGUGAUAUCGUAGUGACAGGCUUGCUGUUGCAUUUGGGUUGGUUAGUAUAGUUGAAGGAAGUAAAGUCACUAUGGUUUUUUGAAGAUUGUCACACAGUGAUUAAGUCUGAUCUUAAGAGUUGUGGGAACUGGGACGUGAGAUUGUUUUAAGAGAUUCGACUUGGUUUCAUCAUUUUAAGAAUGGGAUUUUUUCUUGUGGUUAUUGGUAGAGGAGUACUUGAGAAAGUUGCAAAGUUUGACUUGUGAUGUGAGGAUAAGAGGGUAAGAGACUAUAAAUGUGAUUGUGAGUUGUGUGGUGGUGGUAAAGUCACGAUCCAUUCCAAAGGAGGAGCCUUCUGUCAAGUUGGCAGAAAAGUCUGAGAACCACUUGUGGAAUUGCUAGUCACCACUUUGCCUCUGCUAAAUUAUAUAUGGGCAAAUCACUUCUCCUCUGAUAUUUUUUUCCAGAAACGUCUAAGAUUGUUUCCUCCUCUGUUAAUGGCUUCUUCGUCCUCCUCUUCUCGCAAUUGGUCAUAUGAUGUUUUCCCAAGCUUCAGUGGAGAAGAUGUCCGCAAAACAUUCCUCAGCCACUUUCUCAGGGAGCUGGAACGGAAAUCGAUCAUUACUUUCAAAGACAAUGAGAUGGAGAGAAGCCAGUCAAUAGCCCCAGAGCUUGUAGAGGCGAUUAAAGAUUCAAGGAUUGCAGUGAUUGUGUUCUCUAAAAACUACGCCUCUUCAAGCUGGUGUCUAAAUGAGCUGUUAGAGAUUAUGCGAUGCAACAAAUAUUUGGGCCAGCAAGUGAUACCAGUCUUCUACUAUUUGGAUCCUUCUCAUCUUCGGAAACAGUCGGGAGAGUUUGGAGAGGCAUUUAAAAAGACUUGCCAGAACCAAACUGAGGAAGUGAAAAAUCAGUGGAAGCAAGCGUUGACUGAUGUUUCAAACAUCCUCGGAUAUCAUUCUAAGAACUGGUAUGUGUUUAUAAGUCUUGAAUAAAUGUUUCUACGUGAGAUGUGAUCACUGAUAUUUGUUUCAUGUUUGUGCAUUGAUUUUUCUUCUCGUUAGCAAUAGCGAAGCUACAAUGAUUGAAGAAAUCUCCAGUCAUAUUUUAGGUAAACUGAGUUUAACUCCAUCAAAUGAUUUUGAGGAAUUUGUUGGCAUCAAAGAUCAUAUCGAGAAGGUGAGGUUGUUGUUGCAUUUGGAAUCUGACGAAGUGAGGAUGGUUGGGAUAUGGGGUACCUCGGGAAUCGGUAAGACUACCAUUGCAAGAGCUUUAUUUAGUAAUCUCUCUAGUCAGUUUCAAAGUAGUGUUUACAUAGACAGGGCUUUCAUAUCUAAGAGUAUGGAAGGUUACGGUCGAGCCAAUCCAGAUGACUAUAACAUGAAGUUGCGUUUGCGAGAAAAUUUCCUGUUUGAAAUUUUGGGCAAAAAGAACAUGAAGAUCGGUGCAAUGGAAGAAAGGCUGAAGCAUCAAAAAGUUCUUAUCAUUAUUGAUGAUUUGGAUGAUCAAGAUGUGCUAGAUGCCUUAGUGGGUAGAACUCAAUGGUUUGGAAGUGGGAGUAGAAUAAUUGUGGUUACAAAAAACAAACAUUUCUUAAGGGCCCAUGGGAUUGAUCAUGUUUACGAGGCCUGUCUCCCAUCUGAAGAACUUGCUCUUGAGAUGUUUUGUCGAUAUGCUUUCAGGAAGAAUUCUCCACCUGAUGGUUUUAUGGAGCUUUCUUCUGAAGUUGCAUUGCGCGCUGGUAAUCUUCCUUUGGGUCUUAAAGUUUUGGGUUCGUAUCUACGGGGUAGGGACAUAGAGGACUGGAUGGAUAUGAUGCCGAGGCUUCAAAAUGAUUUAGAUGGGAAAAUUGAGAAGACACUAAGAGUCAGCUACGAUGGAUUAAACAACAAAAAGGAUGAAGCAAUAUUUCGUCACAUUGCAUGUCUUUUCAAUGGUGAGAAAGUAAAUGACAUCAAGUUGCUUCUAGCAGAGAGUGACUUGGAUGUUAAUAUUGGGUUAAAAAACCUUGUUGAUAAGUCUCUCAUAUUUGUAAGAGAGGAUACUAUUGAGAUGCACCGUUUGCUACAAGAUAUGGGUAAGGAGAUUGUCCGUGCACAGUCAAAUGAGCCUGGAGAACGGGAAUUCCUUGUGGAUUCGAAGCAUAUCUACGAUGUACUUGAAGAUAACACUGUAAGUUUCGUGCUCUUUUCAUAAAUCUCACUCUAUAAGACCAAAAGCAUGUCAUUUGAUAAACGAAGAGUUGUUAGGUGUUUGCUAAGCUGAAUGUUUUUUCUCUUUUUAUUGAUCUUAUAAUUCCAGGGUACUAAAAAAGUCUUAGGUAUCGCACUGGAUAUUAACGAGACUGAUGGACUGUAUAUACAUGAGAGUGCCUUCAAAGGGAUGCGUAAUCUCCUGUUUCUAAAUUUUUACACUAAACAGAAGAAAGAUGUAACAUGGCACUUAUCAGAAGGUUUCGAUCAUUUACCCCCUAAGCUCAGAUUACUGAGUUGGGAAAAAUACCCGUUGAGAUGUAUGCCUUCUAACUUUCGUCCAGAAAACCUUGUUAAGCUUCAAAUGUGUGAGAGCAAACUCGAAAAGUUGUGGGAUGGAGUUCAUGUAAGUUUUUAGUAAAGUUAUAACUAGUAUCGAGAUUAGAAUGCUUCUUUUAAACAUAAAAUGUUUACCCUUUCAAGUGAUAUGUAACUUACCUAUACUUCAGUCACUUACAGGGCUCAGGAAUAUGGAUUUGCGGGGAUCAGAAAACCUGAAAGAAAUUCCAGAUCUUUCUUUGGCCACUAACCUCAAGAAACUUGAUGUUAGCAAUUGCACAAGUUUAGUGGAGCUUUCUUCCACAAUUCAGAAUCUUAAUCAAUUAGAGGAAUUGCAGAUGGAACGUUGCGAAAAUUUGGAGAAUCUUCCCAUUGGAAUCAACCUCGAAUCUCUUUAUUGCCUCAAUCUCAAUGGAUGCUCAAAGUUGAGGAGUUUUCCAGAUAUCUCAACAACUAUCUCAGAGCUCUAUCUAAGCGAAACAGCCAUAGAAGAAUUUCCCACUGAGUUGCAUUUAGAGAAUCUAUAUUAUCUUGGCUUGUAUGACAUGAAGAGUGAGAAAUUGUGGAAAAGAGUGCAGGUAUGUUCUUAUUCUAAUGUUUUCUCCAACCUUUUUCUAAACUCACGUAUUAUAAGAAGUUAAUGUCACGUUGGGUUUGAUUUCUUAAACGUUGUGAAAAAAGUUUAUUGAGAAAACUAUCUGUGUAAUGCUUGUGGUUACUAUCUAUAAUCUACGUGAAUAAUUUUUUGAGUGAUUGAGUGAUUGAGUGAUUUUGUUAACAUCUCUAUUUUGUUUUUGUUUUUGGUUCAGCCGCUUACACCGCUCAUGACCAUGCUGUCUCCCUCUUUGACGAAGCUAUUUCUCUCAGAUAUCCCAAGUUUGGUGGAGCUUCCUUCUUCAUUUCAGAAUCUCCAUAAUCUUGAGCAUUUGAACAUUGCACGAUGCACAAAUCUGGAGACUCUUCCCACUGGAGUCAACCUAGAAUUACUUGAACAACUUGAUUUUUCUGGAUGCUCACGGUUGAGGAGUUUUCCUGAUAUCUCAACCAACAUCUUUUCACUAGUUCUAGACGGAACAGGGAUUGAAGAGGUUCCUUGGUGGAUUGAGGAUUUCUAUAGGCUCUCUUUCCUGAGUAUGAUUGGAUGCAACAAUUUACAAGGUGUGUCCCUAAACAUUUCUAAACUGGAAAAACUCGAGACGGUAGACUUUUCAGACUGUGAGGCACUGUCUCAUGCUAAUUGGGAUACCAUUCCAAGUGCAGUGGCGAUGGCAACAGAAAAUAUUCACUCUAAGUUACCAGUCUGUAUCAAAUUCAGCAACUGCUUCAACUUGGAUCAUAAAGCUGUCCUUCUGCAACAAUCAAUUUUCAAGCAACUAAUCUUGUCAGGUGGAGAAAUGUUUUCAUAUUUCACUCACCGAACUACUGGAACGUCUCUGACCAAUAUCCCUCUUCUUCACAUCUCUCCUUGUCAACCAUUCUUCAGAUUUAGAGCUUGCGCCUUGGUUGAUACUGAAUCUAUGGACAUAGGUAGUGUAUUUUUCCAGGUCCAGGUAUCUUGUCGGUUCACAGACAGACUCGGGAACUAUUUGGAUUCCCCUUAUCAACACGAGGUCUUCGCAGUACUUGAGAAGGGUAGUCAUAUGGUUAUAUCUGACUGCUGUUUCCCUUUUAACGAAGACAAUGCUCCUCUAGCUGAACUUAUCUAUGAUCACGUGGAUAUACAGUUUCACUUUACUCAAGAAAACGAUGAGCUCAAACUAAUAGGAUGUGGUCUAAGACUCUCUGAAGCCGAUAAUGAUCUAGGCAAUGAGAUUGAUGGCAGUGAAGAGUGGGAAGACUGCAACGAUAGCGGUCUUGGCAGUGAAUCUGAUAAUUUAGAGGCAGAAGAAGACACGUGAGAAGGAAGCUUACUUGAAGAAGAAGAUAUUUUUUAUCUGUGCCAAACUUGUUUACAGCUUUUGGAUCGGGCAUGCUGAUUGUUGUACAUCUUCUCCUGCGUGGGAUUUGAGGGUAGUGAGCUAGAGAAGAUGAUGCUCUAGAGCUCUACUUGUAUGAAGAUUAUAUUGUACAUUGAGAUGAGAGAAGAGAGAAGAGAUCACAUCUUCAAACUUAUCAGAAUCUGAUCACAGUGAAGAAAGAGUGUGAAGACAAUGAUGUGGAGAAAAGGGAAGCAGUGAGAGAAUGUAGAUUAUCUAAUGACAUGUGGCUUGUUAGAGAAAACUUUUAUCUAAUGACAUGCAUCUUCAAACAAAGUUUUCUCUUUUUGUUUUUUGUUUUCUACAACUUCAUCUGCAGAUGCUUUGUUGAAGUAAUUCUUGUACCAUAUAUAUAACGAUUGGGAAUUUUCUUGCUGACUCUGCUGUAACUUAAACGCAAAUGAGGAACAUGAAAUGUUGAUAAGAUUUUCUGUUGUAUUCAAGUUUGUUACAUAGAGAGCCUCUUAUUUAAAAAGAGGAUCCUGGUUUGCCUACAUUGUCCCAGUCCUUACUAAACCUGUAUACUCAAUUUAAACCGGUCCAGAAGAUUCAAAAUCGCGAAGCCAAUUUUGUCGGAAAGUUCAAAACUUUUUUGACUCUGGAACUUUGCCGUUCUAUACACGAAGCUACAUUGAGUGUGGCUUUGUGAUUGUUUUACGCUGAUGUGACCGUUGUAGGAAAUGUGGAGUCGUGCCAUUUUUCAACGAUUCAGGUUUCGAGCUUUCUCUAUAUCUCACGUUAUCCAUGGGAAAUGUUACAGAAGUUUCUCAGUUACUGUGGAGUUUCAGAAUCGCGAGGUUUUGAUAUGUAAUCACUUGUUGAGUCGACGAAUCGAUGAGGCUCGAGAGGUUUUCAAUCAGGUUCCAUCUCCUCAUGUGAGUCUUUACACAAAGAUGAUUACGGGAUACACGAGGAGUAAUAGAUUGGUUGAUGCGUUGAAUCUGUUCGACGAAAUGCCUGUGAGAGAUGUUGUAUCAUGGAAUUCGAUGAUCAGUGGUUGUGUGGAGUGUGGUGAUAUGAAUACUGCAGUGAAGCUGUUCGAUGAAAUGCCUGAGAGAAGCGUGGUUUCAUGGACAGCGAUGGUAAAUGGGUGUUUUAGGUCUGGUAAGGUUGAUCAAGCGGAGAGAUUGUUUUAUCAAAUGCCUGUGAAAGAUACUGCAGCGUGGAAUUCGAUGGUUCAUGGGUAUUUACAGUUUGGUAAAGUAGACGAUGCCUUGAAGUUGUUUAAGCAAAUGCCUGGGAAGAAUGUGAUUUCGUGGACGACAAUGAUCUGUGGGUUAGACCAGAAUGAGAGGAGUGGAGAGGCUCUCGAUUUGUUCAAGAACAUGUUGCGUUGUUGCAUAAAAUCGACUUCAAGACCAUUCACUUGCGUAAUCACCGCUUGCGCGAAUGCUCCAGCGUUUCAUAUGGGGAUACAAGUUCAUGGCUUGAUCAUCAAGUUGGGGUUUUUAUAUGAAGAAUAUGUAUCUGCUUCGCUCAUAACUUUUUAUGCAAACUGCAAAAGAAUAGGGGAUUCUCGGAAGGUGUUUGACGAGAAGGUUCAUGAACAAGUUGCUGUGUGGACUGCUCUAUUGUCAGGUUAUAGUCUGAACAAAAAGCACGAAGAUGCGUUGAGUAUAUUCUCCGGGAUGUUAAGAAACAGUAUCUUACCAAAUCAAUCAACAUUUGCUAGCGGAUUAAACUCUUGCUCUGCUUUGGGAACAUUGGAUUGGGGUAAGGAGAUGCAUGGAGUUGCUGUGAAGCUUGGUUUAGAAACUGAUGCCUUUGUGGGUAAUUCUCUUGUUGUGAUGUACAGCGAUUCUGGAAACGUUAAUGAUGCCGUUUCAGUGUUCAUAAAAAUCUUCAAGAAGAGCAUUGUGUCAUGGAAUUCCAUUAUUGUUGGCUGCGCGCAGCAUGGGCGUGGAAAGUGGGCGUUUGUCAUAUUUGGUCAAAUGAUACGCCUAAACAAAGAGCCAGAUGAGAUCACUUUCACUGGCUUACUCUCUGCUUGUAGCCAUUGCGGGUUCCUAGAGAAAGGAAGAAAGCUGUUCUAUUACAUGUCAAGUGGAAUAAAUCAUAUCGAUAGAAAGAUUCAACACUACACUUGUAUGGUUGAUAUCUUGGGAAGAUGCGGAAAAUUGAAAGAAGCAGAAGAACUUAUCGAGAGAAUGGUUGUGAAACCUAAUGAAAUGGUUUGGUUGGCUUUACUUAGUGCUUGUAGGAUGCAUUCUGAUGUAGACAGAGGCGAGAAAGCUGCUGCAGCCAUUUUUAAUCUGGACUCAAAAUCAAGCGCUGCUUAUGUCUUAUUGUCAAAUAUAUAUGCUUCUGCUGGUAGAUGGUCGAAUGUAUCAAAAUUGAGAGUUAAGAUGAAGAAGAAUGGGAUUAUGAAGAAACCCGGGAGCAGUUGGGUUGUUAUUAGAGGGAAAAAGCACGAAUUUUUCUCCGGUGAUCAACCACAUUGCUCGAGGAUAUAUGAGAAGUUGGAGUUUCUGAGAGAGAAGUUGAAGGAACUGGGCUAUGCUCCUGAUUAUAGAUCCGCUUUACAUGACGUUGAAGAUGAACAGAAAGAAGAGAUGUUGUGGUACCACAGUGAGAGGCUUGCUAUUGCUUUUGGGUUGAUUAAUACAGUUGAAGGAAGUGCAGUCACAGUGAUGAAGAAUCUACGGGUUUGUGAAGAUUGUCACACAGUGAUUAAGUUAAUCUCCGGAGUUGUGGGACGUGAGAUUGUUUUAAGGGAUCCGAUUCGGUUUCAUCAUUUCAAGAAUGGGACGUGUUCUUGUGGGGAUUAUUGGUAGAACAGUGAUUUGGAAAAUUUCAAGCUUUCACUUGUGAUGUGGAAAGUGACUUGGGAAUUUACAUUAAUACCUGAUCUUACCAAAAAAAAAAAAAAAUCAGAUAUUAUUAUGUUAGAAUAUAUACAGGGUUUUGGCUUGUGUGGUGGUGAUUAAGUCAAGACUCAAGAACCAGUCCAAAAGAGGAAAUUUCCAAGAAACAAUGAUGCAAUUGCUAGGGACCAGCUACUGCAAUUUAUAGGGUUUCUUAACAACCACGCGAGCCCUCACUUCGACUCUAAAUUUUUCCAGAAUCUCCUCUCUUUAUGGCUUCUUCUUCCUCCUCCUCUUCUCGCAAUUGGUCAUAUCACGUUUUCCCGAGUUUCAGCGGAGAAGAUGUCCGCAACACAUUCCUUAGCCACUUUCUAAAAGAACUGGAUAGGAAACUGAUCAUUUCUUUCAAAGACAAUGAGAUCGAGAGAAGCCAGUCACUUGAUCCCGAACUUAAACAUGGGAUUAGAAAUUCCAGAAUUGCGGUGGUUGUGUUCUCCAAAACCUAUGCCUCUUCAAGCUGGUGCCUUAACGAGCUACUGGAGAUUGUGAAAUGCAAGAAAGAGUUUGGCCAACUUGUGAUACCCAUUUUCUACAAUUUGGAUCCAUCCCAUGUGAGGAAACAGACCGGAGACUUUGGGAAGAUCUUUGAAAAGACAUGCCGAAAUAAAACAGUGGAUGAGAAAAUCCGAUGGAAGGAAGCUUUGACCGAUGUAGCUAAUAUCCUUGGAUAUCAUAUUGUUACCUGGUACGACUUUAUGAAUCAUAUUAUGGUUAUUUAACGAACAUUAUUACUUGUUGUUUAGCAAACAUGGUUGUGAAAUGGUCUGUUUCCUUAUUAGGGAUAACGAAGCAAGCAUGAUCGAAGAAAUCGCCAAUGAUAUUUUGGGUAAAAUGAAUAUAUCUCCAUCAAAUGAUUUUGAGGACUUGGUCGGUAUUGAAGAUCAUAUCACAAAGAUGAGUUCAUUGCUGCACUUGGAAUCUGAGGAAGUGAGGAUGGUCGGGAUAUGGGGUCCCUCGGGAAUUGGCAAAACGACCAUUGCAAGAGCUCUAUUUAGUCGACUCUCUUGUCAGUUUCAAAGUAGUGUUUUCAUUGACAAGGUUUUCAUAUCUAAGAGUAUGGAAGUUUACAGUGGAGCUAAUCUUGUUGACUAUAACAUGAAGUUGCACUUGCAAAGAGCCUUUCUAGCUGAAAUUUUUGACAAAAAGGACAUAAAGAUACAUGUAGGUGCAAUGGAAAAGAUGGUAAAGCACCGGAAAGCUCUCAUCGUUAUUGAUGAUUUAGAUGAUCAAGAUGUGCUAGAUGCUUUAGCGGAUCAAACUCAAUGGUUUGGAAGUGGGAGUAGAAUCAUUGUGGUUACAGAAAAUAAGCAUUUUUUAAGGGCCAAUCGGAUUGAUCACAUUUACAAGGUCUGUCUCCCAUCUAAUGCGCUGGCUCUUGAGAUGUUUUGUCGUUCUGCUUUUAAGAAGAAUUCUCCUCCUGAUGACUUUUUGGAGCUUUCUUCUGAAGUUGCAUUGCGUGCUGGUAAUCUUCCUUUGGGCCUGAACGUAUUGGGUUCAAAUUUACGGGGCAUAAACAAAGGUUACUGGAUAGAUAUGCUACCGAGGCUUCAAGGUUUGGAUGGAAAAAUAGGGAAAACACUAAGAGUCAGCUAUGAUGGGUUGAAUAACAGAAAAGAUGAAGCAAUAUUUCGUCACAUUGCAUGUAUUUUCAAUGGUGAGAAAGUCAGUGACAUCAAACUAUUACUAGCAAAUAGUAACUUGGAUGUUAAUAUCGGGCUAAAAAACCUUGUUGAUAGAUCCCUUAUCUGUGAAAGAUUCAAUACUCUGGAGAUGCACUCUUUGCUACAAGAAUUGGGUAAGGAGAUUGUCCGUACUCAGUCCAAUCAGCCUGGAGAACGGGAGUUCCUUGUGGAUUUGAAGGAUAUUUGCGAUGUACUUGAACAUAACACUGUAAGUUUUUUCCUGCUUUUUUUUCAUAACCUCACUCUAUGAUUAAAUGCAUGUCAUUUCAUAUGUGCAGAAUUGUAACGAAUUGGUUUUGUAUCUUUCAAUUCUUAUAAUUUUUAGGGUACUAAGAAGGUUUUAGGUAUAACAUUGGAUAUAGAUGAGACUGACGAACUGCAUAUACAUGAGAGCUCCUUCAAAGGAAUGCACAAUCUCCUUUUUCUAAAAAUUUAUACUAAGAAAUUGGACCAGAAAAAAAAAGUUAGAUGGCACUUACCGGAACGCUUCGACUAUUUGCCCUCUAGACUUAGAUUAUUGAGGUUUGACAGAUACCCAUCGAAAUGUCUUCCUUCUAACUUUCAUCCUGAAAACCUGGUUAAGCUUCAAAUGCAGCAGAGCAAACUUGAGAAGCUGUGGGACGGAGUUCAUGUAAGUUUUUAGUACUCUACCAGGAUUAAUAUCGACAUUGGAAUACUUGUUUUACUUUAUAGAUGACCAUCCUUUCAAGUAUUGUGUAACUUAGUUGCAUAUAAUUCAGUCACUUGCAGGGCUCAGGAAUAUGGAUUUACGGGGAUCUAGAAACCUGAAAGAAAUCCCAGAUCUUUCAAUGGCCACUAAUCUAGAAACACUUAAACUCAGCAGUUGCUCGAGUUUGGUGGAACUUCCUUCGUCUAUUCAGUACCUGAAUAAGCUGAAUGAUUUGGACAUGUCAUACUGCGAUCAUUUGGAGACUAUUCCCUCUGGAGUUAACCUCAAAUCUCUCGAUCGUCUCAAUCUCAGUGGAUGCUCACGGUUGAAAAGUUUUCUUGACAUACCAACCAACAUCUCAUGGCUUGAUAUAGGCCAAACAGCGGACAUUCCCUCUAAUUUGCGUCUACAGAAUCUCGAUGAGCUUAUAUUGUGCGAAAGAGUGCAGGUAUUUACGUUUGCUAACAUUUUCUCGAACCUACAUUUAACUAACACUUAUAUAACCAACUAGGUCGAAUUACUUGAAAUAUCCCUUAUAAGUAUUUACUAGUUAUCUGUUUUCUGGUCGAAAUAUUAGUACAGGUCGUAUGUAAAUUGAUCAUGGGAUUUUAUUUUUAAUUAGAGAGUCAAACUUGGAAGACAGUUUGCAGAUGAGAAGUUACACGAAAUAGUUAUUUCUGAUAUUUGCAAAUGAGUUUUAACAUCUUUUAAUUGUUUCUCUUUUGCUUUCAUUUUUUGUUUAGCUGCGUACACCUCUCAUGACCAUGCUUUCUCCCACUUUGACGAGGUUGACUUUUUCGAACAACCCAAGUUUUGUGGAAGUCCCUUCUUCAAUUCAGAAUCUCUAUCAACUUGAGCAUUUGGAAAUUAUGAACUGCAGAAAUCUGGUGACUCUUCCCACUGGAAUAAACCUCGACUCUCUCAUUUCACUUGAUCUCUCUCAUUGUUCUCAGUUGAAGACUUUUCCUGAUAUCUCAACCAACAUCUCAGAUCUCAAUCUAAGCUACACAGCGAUUGAAGAGGUUCCUUUGUCGAUCGAGAAAUUAUCUCUCCUCUGUUACCUAGAUAUGAAUGGAUGCAGCAAUUUACUAUGUGUAUCCCCAAACAUUUCUAAACUGAAACAUCUCGAGAGAGCUGACUUUUCAGACUGUGUGGAAUUGACUGAAGCUAGCUGGAAUGGUAGUUCAAGUGAGAUGGUCAAACUUCUUCCAGCUGAUAAUUUCUCAACGGUCAAGCUCAACUUCAUCAACUGCUUCAAGUUAGAUCUAACAGCUCUUAUUCAAAACCAAACAUUUUUCAUGCAACUGAUACUAACAGGUGAAGAAGUGCCUUCAUAUUUCACUCACCGUACCAGUGGGGACUCUAUCUCCCUACCUCACAUCUCUGUAUGCCAAUCAUUCUUCAGUUUUAGGGGUUGCACCGUGAUUGAUGUCGAUUCUUUUUCCACAAUCUCUGUUUCAUUUGACAUUGAAGUAUGUUGUCGGUUCAUAGACAGAUUCGGGAACCACUUUGAUUCUACUGAUUUUCCAGGAUACUUCAUAACAACAAAGUUGGGUGGUCAUCUGGUUGUCUUUGACUGUUAUUUUCCCUUUAACGAAGAAUUUACUACUUUUCUGGAUGGUCAAUUCAACUACGAUCACGUGGAUAUACAGUUUCGUCUCACGAAUGACAACUCUCAGCUCAAACUAAAAGGAUGCGGUAUUCUACUUUCCGAAGAUGUCCCAUCCCUGGAUAACCGACCUUGUAGUCCAAAUAUUCUUCCAGGGGUUUGUGAAGAUAGCGCUUUAGAGAGAAGGAGUUUCCGGACUAAAAUGCGGAUGGUAAGCAUUUGGAAUAGAUUGUACGUAGAUAACUAUUAAUAUCCCAUUAGAUAUUGUCAGGACAAACAGAAAACUAUUAUACCAUAUAGUUGACUGGAUGUUUUCUGCAGAUGAGGAUGAGACUACUGAAGAAACUACUGAAUCGCUAGACAGCCAAUCCACAAGAUACAUAAAAGGAUGUCUCCUGAGCACAUGUGGGACUUCCCUUACAGUAUUCCUUCUUCGUGAAACUUCCCCCUUAUAUAAGGUAACCCAAGAAUCUCAUAGACCAUCUUAUGUUAGUUACAUAUAAAUCGUGUCACAGGGCAUCAUACUGAAGGACCUAUUAUAUAAUGUUUUGCUACUGACAAAGGAAUUGGUCCAAUUGGUAAUUCUACCUCCUUGGUCCAGUUUCAACCAAUUUUUUUUUUUCUAGUACAAAUUAAAUUGUGAAACAGAAACUAUGAAUAAAUUCUUUAGCUCUACUAUGUGUCUAGACUGUAGUUAUAAACAUAAUUCUAUUAUUUUUCUUGGCAUCUUCUCAUAGUCUUAUUUUGCUAUGCUACAACUGUUAUAGAUUACUGAAGUUGCAAGCACCGUUGUAAGAUCUGAUGAAGAAGCUAGGAAUGGAGACAUUCGUGAGAGCAGAGAAUAUGGAAAAGCUUUAUUUUUGUCAGCAAAAGAUUUUGUGAGUGGGAAUGAUACUGAAGAGUGAGGAGAGAGUGGUGUAAAGACGGAGGGAAGAAGGAAGCGAAAGCAGGUAAUCUUGAACUUCACAUUCUCUGGUGUUAUGUGUUUAUUUUCCAAGAGUAAUUCGGAAAGCAUUCUAUAGAAUUAGAUCACAUUGGAUUUGUUUCUCUCUGAACCCUGAUAUAACUGAUUUUAGUGAAAUCAGUAGGAUCGUUAAACACAAUUGAAUUAAAAUCAGUAGGCUUCUUUUGUAGUAUAGAGAUUGCAUAGUUUCAGCCUACAGGCUUUAUCUCAGUCUAUUACAAUGUUCACCAGUUAUUGAUACUUGUUUAAUACAUUACAGUGUUCCAAGAUGGAUGUCUCUGUUUCUGACAAAAGCUUUGCAUAUUCUGAGCCAAAGACUAAGCAGUUCAAGUCUAUCUCGAGUCAUCUCAAACCAAGAUAGGUAUGAUUUUAUAGCCCCCCCAAUGUUUUUAUUUUUUGUUGAUUCAACAUGUCUGAAAAAUAUCAUCAAAAUCAGAUUAUCUUUGUCGUUGUUGGUAGUAUUUGCUCAUUUUAACACAAAAAAGUCCUUGUUUAGUAAUGUUUUCAAAAUGUACAUCAAUUUUUUUGUUUAUCAUCACUCUCUUUUAAUCCUGUGUGUCUUCUUCUCAUUAUGUUGGACUAUUUGAUCAUUUUUUGUGCAGAUCAGUUUCCUUUGGACUCUUCCUCGGUGGACGCCGUUUUAGCCAUUUCCAAAACAUCUGGUUUCCCAGUGAUAAAAUAUGUGGUCAAGUAUCUUGAAUGGCACUGAUUUUGUGUGCAAACAUUUGGAGGGUGAAAUGCAACGGGUUUGUCUCGUGCAUCUGGUCUAUGUAAUGGGUUUAUUUGACCUCUUAUAAUGGCAUCUUCCUUGCAGACCAUUCAAAGGAGAGUGGCGUUGGCUGGUUUUCUGGAGCCACAGUGUCUCUAUUUGAAAUCUAUUAAGUUGUCUACAUUCAGUUUAUCCUUUGGGGUUAGCAUUUUUACACUUCUUGUCUGUCUUCUCUUUCUUUUAGUAUGAGGAAACGUUUCUUCUUCCCCCAACAUAUGUAUAAAAACAUGUUCUUUGAGUUCAGGCCAUUCUAGGCCUUUAACAUGAAGGAUAAAAGAUCUUCAUUCUACUUAUCUGUCAAACUUGGAUAUCAGGGGACAAGGUAACUGGUCCUUUAUAUAUAUCACCAUUGUAAAGUCUUGUAAAUCCUUCAUUCAUGUAACUUUUUCUUCCUCUUUAGGUAUCUCUAUCUCAAAACUUCCUUGAAGCUGACAUAUAACCAUGCGAAAGGUGCAUCUUCAUAACUCACAAAUCUGCUGUGUUGCUCUGUAGCCAAAGUGAUAUCACUUUGAAUCCGAUAGCGAAACUGGAGCUAGAGUUAGUAUUUUGGACAUCUACUUCAAUCUAGAGCAUCUCGAGAAAUUAUGAAUACACUACACAACCACAAAGUUGGUCUAAUUGGUAACUUCAUUUUGGAGACCAAGCGUUGCGUUAAAGAAAUUAACUGUAAAACCUAUUCCGAAGCACAUUCCCCCUUCUUUUUUUUAUACUGCUUAUAAAGUUUCUCUUCACAACUUGUUCCAACUAGGUAACAUAAUGACCACUUAUAACUAGGUCAAACUAUUGUCUAGGUCCACCAUUGUUUAGACUUUAGACGCAGCUAGGAAUUUAUAUCGAAAACAAAAAGUCAGAUACUAAUGUAAUAGAUAAGAUAUGGUUCUGAUUUGUGUGGCCGUGAUUACCUGCUACUGUGUUCAUAAAUGAUCUUCUCUGAUUUUCUUCUAACAAUCUCAAUUGCCAAAUACUUUUUGUUCUUCUUCUUCAACAAUGAUAUAUGAUGUUUUUCUUAACUUCAGUGGGGAAGACGUCCGUGGAACUUUCCUCAACCACUUUUUCAAAGAGCUAGAACGGAAAUCGAUCAUUGCUUUCAAAGACAACGAGAGCGAAAGAAGCCAGAAUCUAAGUCCCGAGCUUACACAUGCAAUUAGGGAGUCCAGAAUCACGGUGGUCGUGUUCUCCAAAAAUUACUCCUCUUCAACCUGGUGUCUCAAUGAAUUGCUGCAGGUCUAUGAAUGCUACCAAAGCAUGGAUCUCCCGGUCAUACCAAUUUUCUACGGUUUGGAUCCUUCUCAUGUGAGGAAACAAACCGGAGAAUUUGGAAAGAAUUUUGAGAAGACUUGCAGAAACGAAACAGAGGCAUGUGUAUAUCAGUGGAGAAGAGCUCUGUGCGAUGUAUCUAAUUUCCUCGGAUAUCAUUCUCCGAACUGGUACAAUUCUUGAUAUUUGACUACUUUAUAGUUGACGUUUCUUGCUUCUCAAGUAUUGAUUUUUCUCAUAUUGUUAGGGCUAAUGAAGCAACAAUGAUUGAACAAGUCGCCAAUGAUGUUUUAUUUAAACUGAAUUUAACUCCAUCAAGCGAUUUUUCUGAAUUUGUUGGCAUCGAAGAUCAUAUUGCCGCGAUGAAUUCUGUGGAUAAACGAUGACUAAGUUCAAGAUAGGUUUGGUGCUGAGAAAUGAUUUCCCAUGGGGAUGUUGAUGAAGCUUAGAGCUUAAGACUUAAAGAGUUUGCUGGGACAUUUACAUAGGCCAAGAGAACACAAAACGAGGAAAAGUAAUUAAUUGAAAAGUCGAAGUCUAAGAAUUGACUAUUGAAGACAUGUUCAAGAAGAAAAACAUGGAUUCUGAAACACUUAGUUAAGAUUAUAUGAGUAAACUCAUACAAAUACUUGAUUUGAUAAAUUGGAAGCUUACGCAGAAAAAUUGCAAGGAGAAAGAUUAGUGGGUGAGUCAGAGAGACGAAGGAAGUUGAACAAUGUUAUUAAGCAAUAAGCAAUAGUCACGAACUGAACAUUCUUUCAAACUGAUUUGAUAGCUUGUUGCACACGUUUCUUUAUAGGAUAAAAAAAAAAUGAAUUACUGAAUAAGUUUACAUACAGUUUGGCCAAAUAGAAGUCUCUGCUUCAGACUAGAGCUACUCAGAAAUGUUAAGCGCAUAAGAUAGGGAAACAUGUUUUCUUCGAAAUCGAAUAAGCUUAAAUUUUAAAUCCUUAAAUUAAGAUAUAAAGUUUGAUUAUGUCCUUUCUUUGCUGUAGUAUAUCCACAUAUUCACACGAGAAAGUUGCUAAGCUUAAGAGUUCUUUGAAAAGUCUUAAGAAGAAAUUAAAGACUCCAUCCGCCAAUAAAUGUUAUUUUUGAAACACAAAGACCCCGAAAGUAAUGCUCAGGAUAAGACUUAAGAGGCUAUGAAACAUUUGUUUGUGACCUUGUGUAUACUAUGAUUAAGACAUCAAAUUGGAAACAUCCGUCAAGUUGCGUCGGAAAAGUCUGAGAAACAAUGGUGAAUACUUGUGUGGCCGUGAUUAAGUCAAGUUACCUCUCAGCUGUUAUGUCAAAUGUUUUAUAUCCACCAAGACAGACUCCCUACUUCUCCUCUAUUCCUCUUCUUACAAUCUCAAUCUCCAUAGUCUUUGUUCUUAGUUUUCUCCUCCUCUCACUCUCUCUCUCUAUGGCUUCUUCAUCUUCUUCUCGAAAUUGGUUAUAUGAUGUUUUCUUGAGCUUCAGAGGGGGAGACGUCCGUGUAACAUUCCGUAGCCACUUUCUCAAGGAGUUCGAUCGGAAACUGAUCACUGCUUUCAGAGACAAUGAGAUCGAGAGAAGCCACUCUCUUUGGCCCGAUCUUGAACAAGCGAUCAAGGACUCCAGAAUCGCAGUGGUCGUUUUCUCCAAAAACUACGCUUCAUCGAGCUGGUGUCUUAACGAGUUGCUGGAGAUUGUGAACUGCAAUGAUAAAAUUAUCAUACCGGUUUUCUACGGUGUGGAUCCUUCCCAAGUGAGGUAUCAAAUCGGUGACUUUGGAAGGAUCUUUGAAAAGACUUGCAAGAGACAAACAGAGGAAGUGAAAAACCAAUGGAAGAAAGCGUUGACUCUUGUAGCUAAUAUGCUUGGAUUUGAUUCUGCCAAAUGGUAUGAUUUUUAUACUAAAAUUCAUUAUUAGAUACAUCUUGAAAUAAAAUUGUUGUUUCAUAUUUCUUAAAUUAUCUUUCACCUUAUUAGGGAUGACGAAGCAAAAAUGAUUGAAGAAAUAGCCAAUGAUGUUUUGCGUAAACUGCUUUUAACUACAUCGAAGGAUUUUGAUGACUUUGUCGGCCUCGAGGAUCAUAUUGCAAAUAUGAGUGCACUGUUGGAUCUGGAAUCUAAGGAAGUGAAGAUGGUUGGUAUAUGGGGUUCCUCGGGGAUUGGUAAGACUACCAUUGCACGAGCUUUGUUUAACAACCUUUUUCGGCAUUUCCAAGUUAGGAAAUUCAUAGACAGAUCUUUUGCCUAUAAGAGUAGAGAAAUUCAUAGUAGUGCCAAUCCUGACGACCACAAUAUGAAGUUACAUUUACAAGAGAGCUUCCUCUCUGAAAUUCUAAGGAUGCCGAACAUAAAGAUAGAUGAUCCAACUGCACUGGAAGAGAGGCUAAAGUACCAAAAAGUUCUUAUCAUUAUUGAUGAUUUGGAUGAUAUAAUGGUACUAGAUACAUUGGUGGGUCAAACUCAAUGGUUUGGAUAUGGGAGCAGAAUCAUUGUGGUUACAAAUGAUAAGCACUUCUUGACUGCUCAUGGGAUUGAUCAUAUUUAUGAAGUUAGUUUCCCAACUGACGUGCAUGCUUGUCAGAUGUUAUGUCAAUCUGCAUUCAAGCAAAACUAUGCUCCUGAAGGUUUUGGGGAUCUUGUAGUUGAUGUUGUAAGACAUGCAUGUAGUUUUCCUUUGGGUCUUAAUCUUUUGGGUAAGUAUCUGCGGGGUAGGAAUGAGGAGUACUGGAUGGAUAUACUGCCAAGGCUUGAGAAUGGUUUACGUCUAGACGGUAAAAUUGAGAAAAUACUAAGAAUCAGCUAUGAUGGGUUAGAUAGUGAAGAUCAAGAGAUAUUUCGUCAUAUCGCAUGUAUUUUCAUUCAUAUGAAAGUCACAACCAUCAAGUCCUUGCUGGCAGAGAGUGAUGUUAGUUUUGCACUGGAAAACCUAGCUGAUAAGUCUCUCAUUCAUGUCAGACAAGGUUAUGUGGUGAUGCACCGUUCGCUACAAGAAAUGGGUAGAAAAAUUGUUCGCAUUCAGUCCAUUGACAAUCCUGGAGAGCGAGAAUUUUUGGUGGAUCCAAAUGAUAUACAUGAUGUACUCAAUGCAUGCACAGUAAGUUUUUUUUUUUUAAAAAAUUUAUCCUUUCAUGACUCAAUAUAUAAGGUUUAAGAGAUGCCAUCUGAUAAACAAUGAAGUAUGAGUUUGUCUCUUUCUCAUUAAUAUCAUAUUUUUCAGGGUACUCAAAAGGUUUUAGGUAUAUCACUCAAUACAAGAAAUAUUGUUGAGUUGGAUGUACAUGAGAGUGCCAUCAAAGGGAUGUCUAAUCUCCGUUUCUUAGAAAUUAAGGAUUUCAUAAGUCAAUGGAAGAAAGCGUUGAUUGAUGUAUCUAAGAUAGCAUUUGAUUCUACCGAAUGGUAUAACUUUUUGAUUAUUAGACAUUUUGAAAUAAAUUGUUGUUUCAUAUUUGUUCAAUAAUUUUUCUUCUUAUUGGGAUGACGACGCAAAAAGGAAUCGCGGAUUAAUCACUCAAAAUUAUGUUAAUUUGCUUUUGCUUUCAACUACUCCCAAGGAGUAUGAGGAACUUGUUGGCAUUGAAGAUCACACCGCUGAAAUGAGUUUACCUGCAACUAAGAGCUUUGAUUUCGAAGAUGACGGAUUGCAUUUACCUGCAAGUUUCGACUAUUUGCCUCCUACACUUAAACUAUUGUGCUGGCCCAAAUUUCCAAUGAGGUGUAUGCCUUAUGAUUUUUGUCCUGAAAACCUUGUCAAACUCGAAAUGCGGGAGAGCAAGCUAUAUAAGCUGUGGGAAGGAGUUGUGGUAAGUUUUGAGAAUAAUUUCUUAUGUUAUUAUUUUGGUUUUUGGAUGACAACAGUGCCACGUGAUGUGUAAUUUCUGUUGAUCUCUGUGUUUAAUUGUUGUUUGAAUACAGCCACUUACAUGUCUAAAGGAAAUGGAUCUAGAUGGAUCAGUCAAUCUGAAAGAAAUUCCAGAUCUUUCCAUGGCUACUAAUCUCGAGACACUUAAUUUUGAGAAUUGCAAGAGUUUGGUGGAGCUUCCUUCCUUUAUACGAAAUCUCAAUAAGCUGUUGAAAUUGAACAUGGCAUUCUGCAACAGUCUGGAAACUCUUCCAACUGGUUUCAACCUCAAAUCUCUGGACCGCCUUAGUUUCUCUGAAUGCACAAAGUUGAAGACUUUUCCCAAAUUCUCAACCAACAUCUCAGUUCUCAAUCUCUUUGGAACAAACAUUGAAGAAUACCCUUCUCACUUACAUCUCGAGAAUCUUGUCGAGUUUAGCAUAUCAAAAGAAGAGAGUAAUAUGAUACAAUGGGAGGGAGCGAAGGUGAGUAGUUCUAAACUUAAUAUUCUCUCCAAACUAUUUUACUAUCACUGUUUAUAUUUAAACUAUUGUCGCAGACUCAAAUUUUGUACACUUGUGUAUUAAAACUUAAAAACUUAAGUGACUUUUAUAAAAUUUACAAAUUUUAUAUUAUUCAAUCAUAAGUUUUAAAAUUCUAAUGAAUUCUAAUGUUAUUGAACUAACGAUUUAAAAAUCCUACUAUAUUAUUUGGGAAGUACAUUUUAAAUGUAACCUUAAUUUUUGUAAGUAAUUACAUAGGUAUGCCAUUAGAAAUAAAAUUUUAAAGAGUAAAUUAAUUUAUCUUUUUAAUGAUUAAAAGUCAAAUACUAAUUUAAUUAAUUAAAUUUAAUUAAUUAAAUUUAAUUAAAAAACGAAAUACAUUAUUAUUUUCCAAAAAUAAUAACCAAUCAAAAUCAACAUAUAAGAUUUGAUAUCUAAAUUUUAAUUAAUUUAAUUUAAUUAAAAAAACGAAAUACAUUAUUAAUUUCCAAAAAAGUAACCAAUUAAAAUCAACAAAUUAUAUUUGAUAUCUAAAUUAUCAUAUUAUUUUUUUAUUAAUUAUUAUAGUUCACUUCUCAUCUUUAUAUGAUUUUAUUUUUGCGGAAAAAUAAUAUCAUCAUUAUAAAAAAAUAAUUAGAGUUAUUUCGCAUAUGCCACAAUUUGAAUUUUUAAAAACGAAUAUAAACUGUUCAAUACAUGAAAAAAUAUUAUAACGGGUGAAAAAUAGAUUUAAGAAAACUUUCUACUGAGUAACGGGUCAUAAUUUGAAAUAUUUAUAUUCAAUUUCAUACAUAUUAUAUUGAAAAUUUAUAAUCUUAUAUACUACAAUAAUUAAUAACAUAUUAGAUGUGAUUCAAUUUUUAAUAAAAGCUGGAAAAUCCUAGAAUUGACGGGUUUAGAUCGAUAUUAAUACAAGAUGGAAUACUACAGGUGAAACUCUUAAAUUAACAAUCAAACUACAAGUGUAUAAUCUUAAACACUAAACAAUAUAGAUAAUAUCAACAAAACAUAUACAUGAACUCACAGUUUACUAUACAUAUAAAAUCAAAUAAAAUAAUAUCAUAUAUUUUUAAAUCAUCUUUACAAUAAAAGAUUUUAUUUUAACUAAAAUAUAAGCCUACCUGCGGUAUACUGCAAGUCAAUUUAAUAUUUUAUAUACGAAAUCAAUUAAAUCUUAAUCACAUAAAAAUUAGCACAAAAAAAAGUAUUCAACAAUUAAAAAAUUAUCAAAUCUCUGUGUUAUAUAAGUUUUGAUACUAUAUUCGAAUAAUGUAAUAUACCUUUUCAAUUUGUAUUCUUUAACUAAUUUAAGCUAACUAAUAUAUUUGCUAAUUUUAUACCUAUCAAAACCGACUAUCGUUUCUUAUCUCUAUAGUAUUUUUGCAAGACUUUUUUGGUGGAUUUGGAUAAAAGUGUAUUCGGGUCAUAUGAUACAUUCCCCUAUUAAAUAAAUAUGGUGCACUCCUAUGUUAUUAGCUAAAAUGUUUAGAAUAUAAUUCAGAGUCAUAUCAUUAAUAAAAUUAAUAUUAAUAAACUAAAUGACUUUUUGGCAAGACGAAUUUGGAGAGACGGGUUUUUGAAUCAACAUUAAUAAAAAAGUAAAAUAUGAUUAAUCCACCGUUUCAAUACGGGUUAAAUCUUUAAUUUAUUAUUUUGUAAGACCACUAAUAUUAAACAUAUCAAAUCAUCAUAAUUUAAAAAAGAUUAUAUAAAACCAAAAAUGUUAUGUGGUAUGUAUAAUGUUACUAUAUAUAAAAUUAAAUAAUAAAAUAUAAAUGUAUUAGAGAAUGAUACAAUUUGCAAAACUUUAAUAUAUAAAAAAUAAUUCUUAAAUUUUAAAAAUUACUACUUUAAAAAAAUAAUCACGGGACGGGUAAAAAAAUUACAGAACGGGUUUUAUUUUGGAAUUGGGUUAUAUGGUGGAUGUAUUUGAAUCAAUAUUUAUAAAAUUUUAAAAUAUUAUUAAUAUGCUGUUUUAAUAGGGAUUAAAACUUCAGUUUUUUAACAAUUAUCUCAUGGAUUCGUGGUAUAGGGUUACCUAAUAACAAUUAUAAACUGGAAAAUAAAAAUAUUUUAUAAAAAUAAAAUUUGCAAGUUUUAAUAUAUAUUACUUUUAAAAAAUAAAUCGUCAAAAUCUAGUUUUACCUUUAAAUCUACUGUUAUUGAAACCAAUUUGUGGAUUUAAUUCUUAUUAAUUUUAAAGGAUUUAAGAAGAUUUGAAAAGAUUUCUUUAGUUAAAAAUAUAGAAAUCCAAAUCUCAUGGUUUUAGAUGGAAUUUGAAAAGAUUUUACAAUAAAUUACAUCAACUUCCCUAAAAUCAUUAAAAUCAUAUAAAACCCCAGUAAAACUCAAAUCAUUCUUUGUCCAAUACACCCUCCUAAUUUCGUUUUGUUUAUGAAUACUUUAAUUUGAUUGAAAAGUAACUUUUGGUUACAAAGAACGAAGAAGAAAACAUUUGAUUUUAAAAAAUAAAAUAAAAAUACAAAAUAAUGGAUUUCACCAAAACAAUAUACAAAAUAACGGUAAUAAAAGAGUUCCAAACAAUCUAAUACUGUACUGAUGAGAUUUACCCAUAAUACUGUUAUUCUUUUGAUUUUAAAAGAUUUAUUUUCUAAAUUUAAGAUAAUAACACUUUAAAAGUAAUUUGCCACUGAAACUUGUUAUUUGGUUCAGCCGCUUACGCCCUUCCUGGCUAUGAUGUUGUCUCCCACUUUGACGAGCCAUUGCAGCAGGCUAAAAUGUGUAUCCCUACACAUUUCUAAACUGAAACAUCUUGAGGACGCUUUGUUUCCAGCUUGUGGGGCAUUAAAUCGAGUUGAAUUGAGUGGUUCUUCUAGUGGGAUGAAAGCAGACAAUAUUGACACAGCCUCCUCUUCUCUUCCUCAAGUCGAACUUGAUUUCAGGGAGUGCUUCAACUUGGAUCCAGAAACUGUCCUUCACCAAGAAUCAAUUAUAUUCAAGUACAUGUUAUUUCCAGGGAAAGAAGAAGUGCCAUCAUAUUUCACUUACCGUACUACUGGAGUCUCCUCUCUGACCAUUCCUCUACUUCACCUCCCUCUCUCCCAACCAUUCUUCAGAUUUAGGGUUGGCGCAUUGGUAACUAAUGUUAAGCAUGGAAAAAAUAUAAAGGUAAAAUGUGAGUUCAAAGACAGAUUUGGGAACAGCUUUCAUGUUGGCUCGGAUGAUUUCUACGUUUAUCUACUUUUCACGAAAAGUCAGAAGGGUAGUCAAAUGUUAACUAUAUUGGACUGUUGUAUCCCUCUAAACGAAGGUAAUGCUUCUCUAGCUCAAGGGAACUACUACGAUCAUGUGGAUAUAAAUAUUCAUAUAACAGAAUCUCUUGGAUCUUUUGGAUCUACGUCUGAAUUAAAAGAAUGGGGUAUACGACUCUUAGAGGAAGACUCUUCAUCAGCAGAGAACCAACUUGGUAAUCCGAACAGUACUCUUCCACAUGUUUCUGAAGCCGAAGAAGGCAAUAUGGGGUAUUAUACACCUGUUCAAGGACUUGUUAAUGAGAUUGAACACAAUGGAGAGUCUGGAGAUAACAAUGUAGAGACUGAGAGAAGCACGAAGCAUGCGGGUAAGCAUUAAGCAUUAAUUGAACAUUAUGACUAUUCAUCUCUCAAUUCUUUUUGUAUUAUUGACAACUGAAUUCUCUAGCUCAACGGAACUACUACGAUCAUGUGGAUAUAGAUAUUGAGCAAAUGGAUAGUGAUGAUGAUAUUGAAGAAUGGGGUAGACACUUAGAGGACUGUCAUCAGCGAAGAAUCGACAUGGUAAUCCAAACACUAUGCAGUAUGUUUGUGAAGCCGAUGAAGACAAUGAUGGAUGCCAUUAGACUGAUCACAACGAAGAGCGAGGAGACAGUGAUGAAUAGUGAUAUAGGCAGGGAGACUGAUCACUUUGAAGAGUGCGAAGAUAGUGAUAUAAGCAAUGAGAGUGAUCAGAGUGAAGAGCGUGGGGAUAGUGACGAUGAUGGUAUAAACAAUGAGACUGAUCUGUUCGAAGAGUGUGGAAACAGUGAUUAGGCAAUGAGCUUGAUCACAAUGAAGAGAGUUGAGACAGAGAGAACCAAUACACAAUACAAGGUAAUUAUUAAUCAAGAAAUGAACAGAAUAUCAGAUAUCUCACAAUCAGGAUCUUUAAUAUUAUAGAUCACUGAGUUGUUUUCUUUGACUUGCAGAUUACGUAAAAAAUAAAUGAAUCUUUGAGAUACUUUUACGGUGAUGGAAUGCGUAGUUUUGCUGCCGGUUCUAUUGAACAACAAGGAGAGCCCAAGAUUCUUCAUUGUCUCCCUAGCUGGACAGACAUUUUCAGGUAACCCGAAAAAACUCAAAAACCAUUUCAUUUUAGUUCCACAUCAAUUGUAAUACAGAGCAUAAAUCCUUUUAUACUUAUUUUCUUGUUUCUUACAGUUUGAGGAUUAUUUCUCCAUAAAUCCUUUCCUAACUUGAGCAAGGAUCACCUCAACUACGAUGUGGAGAAUUAUGAGCUCACAUCUUCACAAGAAUUUUGUAAAUAAAAUAAAGGGAGAAAGUGUCAAUAAAAUUGUUCUCAAAAAUUUGUUGUCUGAGAUUGGAUGAAAUCUGUUGUUUGAAACUCUUUUGGCUCUGGAUUCUCCUCUAGCUGAAGCCAACUAGGGUCAUGUUAAUAUAAUUCAUAUUAAAAGGAUUUGGUAUAAGAAAUGACAUCGGAUAACUUCAUUUACAGAGGUUUUGUACAAGAAAAUAUAUCUAUAUAUAUCAAAAUUUUCAAAUUUGCUUCCAAUCUGAUUAAGCCUAUCGCUAUGCAUGUGCAUAUAGAGACGAAGCUGCAACUAUGUAGCAUAUUAAGGCCAAGACCCAAGAGUGAAUAAACCAUAUUCUGUUGUUACUUUCCUGUAUGAUAUCAAAAUGAGUAAUGGAGUUUCUAUAAUAUUGACACCCCAUAUUGCUGCAUCGACAUGUUAGUGUUUAAGGGGAAAUUGAACACACAAUAGUUAGGCGUAAAAACUUAACUAUCAAUUGUUCUACAAUGCUUGGUUGAAUGUUGAUAUCCAACCUACUUGGUUUGAUGAUUUGGAGUUGAUGCGUCGUAUGCGGAUAGAGAAGUCUGUUUUGGGAUUGCUGGAGGAUAUAGGUUUGGGAACGAUUUGACUUGUAUGACUUGUAGUAUGACUUGUAUCCGGAGCUAGUGCGGCAGUUUAUGGCUUAUGUUAGGGUUUUUUAUGCGAAUGACAGGGUGUGAGAUACUCAUGAAGGAGCCCUUAUCUUCUUCAUUCGUGGGUUUGAGAAUGAUACUUCAUAUGUCUUUCUUCCUGGACAGUUUGCAGAUGCUCAGAUAUUUUGAGCGAAUUUGGAAAUGGGGUUUAUGAUUCCAAAGAUUCAGUGCAUUCAGAGAUUCGUCAUCCUGUUCUAAGAUAUUUAGCUAGGUUGAUUAGCAACACAUUCUUGUGUAAGAUGGAGCGUGGUAAGAUGAGACUUUCUGAGUUGUUGAUGCUUUAUCAUGCUGUGAUUGUUGAACUUUUAAAAUCUGUCAUUUAGAAUCAUUUCCAGAAUAUUUGUAUCAGUUCUACUUCUUGUAUAGUACGCAAAAUUGUAGCGUGUAACACAAGAAACAGAGUAAGAACCAUAGAGUAACUUCGCUUGCACAUUUGUUAUGUGGAUGGUCCUGCCAUUAGGAGCCGCGACCAUUCUACAAACGCCGCAUCAAAGCCAAAACCAGAAUCGGAGAACCAUAGACGCACAAAGAUAGAUUUGGAGCCCAACUCGCCGGAGGUUAAGUCUUUAGCUUUCUACUUUCACUCUAUCUCUCUAUGGCUUGUUCGUCUACUUCUCUCAAUUGGGUAUAUGAUGUUUUCUUGAGCUUCCGAGGGGAAGACGUCCGCAUAUCUUUCCUUAGCCACUUUCUCAAGGAGCUCGAUCCUAAACUGAUCACUGCUUUCAAAGACAAUAAGAUCCAGAGAAGCCACUCCCUCUGGCCCGAGCUUGUACAAGCGAUCAAGCAAUCGUUGGAAGAAAGCAUUGAGUGAUGUAGCUAAUAUGUUUGGAUUUCAUUCUGCGACAUGGUAUAAAAAUAGAUGUGGGUGUAGAGUUUGAGUACUAAUAAGAACCUGAACAAGUGAGAUGUUGGACUAUACGAUGAAAUUGAGAGCUAAAGUUUCGAGCCCAUUGGGCUUAUAUUUCAAUUUUUUCUUUUGUUUUCAGUCUGUUACAAAAGCAAGUCAUCUUAUUCAAUAAUAUAUGUCUUCUUACUCUAAAAUUGUAAUUUCUCAAAUUUAGCUACAAAACCAGUCUAUCUUUGACGUUGGUGGUAUUAUUAGCUCAUUAACACACACACAAAAAUGUCCUUGUUGGAUAUAACGACGAUUCAAAAAUCUAAAGACAAAGAAUUGACGAUUAACGCGUGAAGAAGACUUGGGGAACCGCAUCAGUCAAAAAGUACAAAGACUAGUAUUGAGUGACCAAAGUCAACAAAUAGUAAAUGUUCUGUCAAGUUGCAUAUAAGAAAAGUCUGAGAAAUUGCUACUAAACCACACUAUGCUUUCGCACAAAAAAAAAAAAAAAAAAAAAACCACACUAUGCUAGUGCUGCCUGCAAAUUUAGGGUUUCUUAACGACGACGGCAACGCUUCUUCACUUUUCUUCUGAUUGCAUUCUCAGUAUCACCAGGUCUUAAGUUGUUCUUCUCAAAAUUACAUUCCUUUUCUCUAUAUGGCUUCUUCUCGGAAUUGGGUUUAUGAUGUCUUCCCGAGCUUCAGCGGAACAGAUGUCCGUCGGAAUUUCCUCAGCCACUUGCUCAAGGGGCUGCAUAAAUCCGUCAAUUCUUUCAGAGACCAAAACAUGGAGAGAAGCCAAUCACUCGAUCCCAUGCUUAAACAGGCGAUUAGGGAUUCUAGAAUUGCUCUGGUCGUGUUCUCAAAGAACUACGCCUCUUCAAGCUGGUGCCUUAAUGAGCUGUUGGAGAUUGUGAAAUGUAAGGAAGAGUUUGGUCAAAUGGUGAUUCCUAUUUUCUACUGUUUGGAUCCUUCCCAUGUGAGGCAUCAAGACGGUGACUUUGGAAAGAACUUUGAAGAGACUUGCGGGAGAAAUACAGAGGAAGAGAAAAUUCAAUGGGAGAAAGCGUUGACUGAUGUCGCAAAUCUCGCUGGGUUUGAUUCUGUGACCUGGUAUGCUUCUAUACAUCAGUAAUUUGUGAUUUCAUUUAUCGUGAAUGAGCGUAGUUUCUUGUUUGGGUAAAUAAUCAUCGUUUUCUCCUUGUUAGGGAUGACGAAGCAAAAAUGAUUGAAGAAAUAGCCAAUGAUGUUUCGGGUAAACUGCUUUCAACUUCAUCCACGGAUUCUGCUGAGAACUCUAUUGGCAUUGAAGAUCAUAUUGCAAAUAUGAGUGUCUUGUUGCAAUUGGAAGCUGAGGAAGUGAGAAUGGUUGGUAUAUGGGGUUCCUCGGGGAUUGGUAAGACUACCAUUGCAAGAGCUCUGUUUAACCAACUUUCUCGGCAUUUCCCAGUUAGCAAAUUCAUAGACAGAGCUUUUGUAUAUAAGAGUAGAGAAACUUACAAGGGCGCCAAUCCGGACGACCCGAACAUGAAGUUGCACUUGCAAGGAUGUUUCCUAUCGGAAAUUUUGGGGAAAAAAGACAUAAAGAUUGAUCAUUUAGGUGCACUGGGAGAGAGGCUAAAGCACCAGAAAACUCUCAUCAUCAUUGAUGAUUUGGAUGAUCUAGUGGUACUAGAUUCAUUGGUGGGUAAAACUAAUUGGUUUGGAUGUGGGAGCAGGAUCAUAGUGAUUACCAAUAAUAAGCAAUUCUUAAGGGCCCAUGGAAUUGAUCAUAUUUACGAAGUUAGUCUCCCUUCUAAAGAGCGCGCUCAAGAGAUGUUUUGUCAGUCUGCUUUCGGGGAAAACUCUCCACCUGAAGGUUUUGAGGAGCUCGUAGUUGAAAUUGCAUGGCUUGCUGGUAGUCUUCCUUUGGGUCUUACUGUUUUUGGUUCAGCUCUACGAGGAAGAAAAAAGGAGUACUGGGUGAAGAUGUUGCCAAGGCUUCAAAAUGAUCUAGAUGGCAAUAUUGAGGAGACAUUGAAAGUCAGCUAUGAUGCGAUAGGCAACGUAAAAGAUCAAGCGUUAUUCCGUCUUAUCGCAUGUCUUUUCAAUCACGUCAAAGUCAGAGACAUUGAAUUGUUGCUCGCAGAUAGUGGCUUAGAUGUAAAUAUUGCACUGGAAAACCUAGUUGAUAAGUCCCUUAUUCAUGUCAGAAAUGAUCAUGUGGAGAUGCACCGUUUGCUACAAGAAACGGGUAGAAAUAUUGUACGCUCACAGUCCACUGACAACCCAGGAGAACGAGAAUUUCUGGUGGAUUCAAACGAUAGUCGUACUGUACUCAGUGAAGGCAUUGUAAGUCUUUUUUUUAGUUGUGCUACUUUCAGUAUACGAGGUUAAGAAAGUGCCAUUUGAUGAAUCAUGAAUUGUAUGGUUUUGUCUCUAUCUCACUAAUAUCAUAUUUUUCAGGGUACUCGAAAGGUGCUAGGAAUAUCAUUGGAUACAAGUAAGGUUAGUGAGUUUUGUGUACAUGAGAAUGCCUUCAAAGGGAUGGGUAAUCUCCUUUUCUUGGAUAUUUCCUCGAAGACUUUUAUAGAAGAAGAAGUCAAAGUGCAUUUACCGGAAAAAAUAAACUAUUAUUCCGUUCAACCCAAACAAUUGAUUUGGGAUAGAUUUCCACUGAAAUGUAUGCCUUAUACUUUUCUUCGAAACCUCGUCAAGCUCGAAAUGCAUGACAGCAAGCUAGAGAAGCUGUGGGAAGGAGCUAUGGUAAGGUUUAAGAAUAAAUUGUUAAUGCUAAUUGUAGUUUUUAAAUGACGUGAUGUGUAAUUUCAACUGAGCUCUGCGUUUAUUUUUGUCUGAGUACAGUCAUUUACAUGUCUAAAGGAAUUGGAUAUGUGGGCAUCUAAAUACCUGAAAGAAAUCCCAGAUCUUUCAAAGGCCACUAACAUUGAGAAACUUGACUUUGGACAUUGCUGGAGUUUGGUGGAGCUUCCUUCCUCUAUACGAAAUCUCAAUAAACUGUUGGAAUUGAAUAUGGAAUACUGCGGUGAAUUGGAGACUCUUCCUACGGGUUUCAACCUCAAAUCCCUGGACUACCUCAAUUUCAAUGAAUGCUGGAAGUUGAGGACUUUUCCUGAAUUCGCAACCAACAUCUCAAAUCUCAUUCUGGCAGAAACAUCUAUUGAAGAAUACCCUUCCAAUUUGUAUUUCAAGAAUGUCCGUGAGCUAAGCAUGGGGAAAGCGGAUAGUGAUGAGAAUAAAUGCCAAGGAGUGAAGGUAUAUGUAGUUCUCUCCAAUAUCAUGAGAAUCCAUUAUAUGUUUUUCUUUUCAAAGUGUAAAGGUAAAUCUUGCAUUGAGUAUUACCAAGUCAAUCAACAAACAAAGAAUGCAAAAUGACAAAUGCAAAUUUGUUUCGUAAUGGAAUUUGUUUUAGCUUAGAUUAAUUAAUUGAAAAGUCCCAAACUGUAAAUUGUAUUAUUGGUGAUUUUUGUUUAACAUCUCUAAAUUGUUUAUUUGGUUCAGCCCUUCAUGCCGAUGCUGUCUCCCACUUUGACCCUCUUGGAGCUCUGGAAUAUCCCAAAUUUAGUAGAGCUUUCGUCCUCAUUUCAGAAUCUCAAUAACCUUGAGAGGUUGGACAUUUGUUACUGCAGAAAUCUGGAGUCUCUACCCACCGGAAUCAACCUCGAAUCUCUCGUUUCCCUUAAUCUCUUUGGAUGCUCACGGUUGAAGCGCUUUCCUGAUAUCUCAACCAACAUCAAAUAUCUCGAUCUAGACCAAACUGGGAUUGAAGAGGUUCCUUGGCAGAUCGAGAACUUCUUUAACCUCACUAAGCUAACUAUGAAAGGUUGCCGCGAGCUAAAAUGUGUAUCCCUAAACAUUUUUAAACUCAAACAUCUUGGGGAAGUUAGCUUUUCCAAUUGCGGGGCAUUGACCAGAGUUGAUUUGAGUUGCUAUCCAAGUGGGGUGGAGAUGAUGAAGGCAGACAAUGCUGACAUAGUUUCUGAGGAGACCACCUCUUCUCUUCCUGAUAGUUGCGUCCUCAAUGUCAAUUUCAUGGAUUGCGUCAAUCUGGAUCGAGAACCUGUCCUUCACCAACAGUCGAUUAUUUUCAACUCCAUGAUAUUGCCAGGUGAAGAAGUGCCAUCAUAUUUCACUUACCGAACAUCUGACUCUCAACCAUUUGGAACGUCUUCCUCUCUGCCCAUCCCUCUACUUCCCACACAACUCUCUCAACCAUUCUUCAGAUUUAGGGUUUGUGCAGUGGUAAGUGCUUCCAAUGGAGUAUAUAUCGGGGUAUAUAGUCGGUUCAAAGGCAGAAUUGGGAACAAAUUUGAUUCCUUUGGUGAGCUACAUAAAUUCAUGGAAAUUGAGAAGGGUAUUCAUCUGUGUAUAUUUGACUGUCGUAUCCGUCUAUACAAAGAUAAUGUUCCUCUAUCUCAACUGAACUAUGAUCAUGUGGAUAUAAAUAUUCAUAUAACUAGUGGAGAUUGGAGAUCUACGGUCGUUUUAAAAGAAUGGGGUAUACGACUCUUAGAGGACUGUUCAUCAGCGGAGAACCGACUUGGUAAUCCAAACAGUACUCUUCCACAUGUUUGUGUAGAGGAUGAAGAAAAUUUGGUUAAUGGGACUGAACAAGGUGAUAGAGGUGAUGUAGUGACGGAGACAAGCAGUAAACAGAAUGAAGACGUUAUCCUUCUGCAACGAUCAGCUGAUUCCAUGUUCUCUAGGAUGUCAGGAAAAGAAAUGAUUUCAUAUUUCACUCAUCGCACUACUGGAACCUCUCUAACCAACAUACCUCUACCUCACACCUCUCCCUCGCAACCGUUCUUCAGAUUUAAAGCUUUCGCAGUGGUUGGUUGCAAAUCUUCUGGUCAGUUUUCAUAUUUUGUCACCCAUAUUUCUUGUCGAUUCAAAGAUGGAUUUGAGAAUCAACCACGUAGGCUUUAUAAAGCUGAGAAUGGUAACCACCUUGACAUAUAUGAGUGCUCUUUCCCUCUAUACCAAGGUAAUGCUUCUCCAGCUGAAAUGAACUAUGAUCGCGUGGAUAUACAGCUUCAUUUAAGGUAUAGAAGUGACUCUACGGUCAGAUUAAUAGUAUGGGGUAUACGCCUCAUCGAGGACUGUUCAUCAUCCGAGAACCAACUUGGUUAUCUAAAUACUCUGUAGCAUGUUCGUGAAGACAGUGAAACGGUGAGAGUGCCAAAAGUUCCAAGAGGCUCAAGACAUUGAGAUAGGCUAUGAGACUGAUCAGAGUGAAGAGCGUGGAUACAGAGUGAUGAUAUUGGUAUAGACAGUGAGACUGAUCAGUUUGAAGAGUGUGGAAAUAGUGAUAUAGGCCAUGAGAUUGAUCAGAGUGAAGAAUGUGAAGACAUGGACGAUACUGGUGGUAUAUGCAUUGGGAUUGAUCAGAGUGAAGAGCGAGGAGACAGUGAUGAAUAGUGAUAGUGGCAGUGAGACUGAUCACUUUGAAGAGUGCGAAGAUAGUGAUAUAGGCAAUGAGAUUGAUCAGAGUGACUAAUGAGAUUGAAUACAAUGAAGAGAGUAGAGACAGAGAGAACCAGUACACAAUGGCAGGUAAGUAUUAAUCAAGAACUGAACAGAAUAACAGAUAUCUCGCCGUCAGGAUCUUUAAUAUUAUAAAUCACUGAGUUGUUUUCUUUUGCUUGCAGAUUAUGUGAAAAAGAAAUGAAUCUUUGAGAUACUUUUGUGGUGAUGGAAUGAGUAGUUUUGCUGCCGGUUCUAUGGAACAACAAGAAGAGCCCAAGAUUCCUCAUUGUCUCCCUAGCUAGACAGACAUUUUCAGGUGACCCAAAAAAACUCAUAAACCAUUUCAUUUUAGUUCCACAUCAAUUGUAAAUACAGAGCAUAUAUAUAGUAGCAUGCUUUUGAAUUUCUGAUUGUCUGGUUAUAGACUUUUUAUUAUAUAGAUAUUUGGCUGUAUUCAAUUGAUAAAUUUCACAGCCAUCAAUGUUGUUCACUGCUUGGUUAAAGACUUUGAUAUUAUCUAUUAUGGGAUAAUUAGAUACAUGUGUGCUAGUAUUAUGAGGCAUAUAUUUCAAAAAAAAGUCGUGAUGUAGUUACAAAAAUUGAUGGAAUUCAAGCCACUGGUUUUUAAUUAGAUUAUAAAGCUGAAGGAAUGGAAUUGUCUCAAAUGGCAGAUGAAGAUGGUACUGUUCAUGUCAAUGUUUUAUAAUUUUUUGUUUUUUUUCUUAGGUUGCACGUUUGUGAUAAGCUUAUUUCAUUACUAUAACGAUUUAAUUUCUGAAGAACUAUUUGUGUUAUUUGUGUUCACAAGAAUUUGCUGUCUGGAACAAAGUUUUACAGUGUACCUGAAUUGAGUUUUCUUUUAUUCGUUUUCGGAUUUCACUCUCCACUAGUUGAAAAAGGUCUGAGGCUUUCUAGAUUGUUUCAAACUUCGUUAGGAACAUGAAAAUUUGCAUCUAGACAAUGCCCUGUGGUAUCUGGUAAUCAAAAUUCUGUUUCUGGUUACUUCGUUUUUACAUGGGCAGAAAGUGAAUCUCCUACAGGUCUUGCGACACAGUUAGCUUUUGAUUUGAUAAGCUUACUGUUACUUUAACCCUGUUGACAUUUCUCACCUAUGUCAUUCGUUUGAAAGCUUGUUUUGAUUCUCUAAUGAUAUGCUUAACUUUCAUUCUCUGAUGAUUCUUUUGUCUUGCAAUUGUUAUUGUUCAGGAAAGCUGGAGGAAGUCACUUUGAUGACCAAUGUUGGUUACGGAUCUGACAAGAUAUUAAUGUAAGAAUAAGAGGCUAUGGACAUGGUUUUUACUUGAGUGGUGGCGAUUAAGUCCAAAUCUAAAAGAGAUGAUUAAGUCAAGAUCCAGCAGAAAAGAGGAAACUUUCGUUAAGGUGUAUGACAACAGUGGUGCAAUUGCUAAUGUUUGUGAAUUGGUCUUUUUUCUUAUUAGGGAUAUAUAAUGAAGCAAGCAUGAUUGAAGAAAUCGCCAAGUCUUAAUCGGCUCACGUUAGGUGGUGGAAAGACGACGCAUUGCAAAAGUUUUGCAGGCUGACGAAAAAAGAGGAGAAUGGAGAUCAAUUGGAAGAGGUUCUUCUUAUUUGAUUGGUUAAUUUUUCUUUUCUUUCUAUAUUUAGAUAUACAUGGUGACACCCAUUAUUGUCCAAUUUGUCCCUUUUUUCUGUUUCUUUUGAGACCAUGUCUAUAUAUGAGAAUUGAGAAUCUUACAAUUAAAUAUUUUGAACUAAUAAGUCUUUUAUUUUGUUUCCAACUCAUGUGUUUAACUAAGUCCUAAGCUAACACUAGAUUUUUUUUAAAAGAAAUUUGGUUUUCCUCCACAGUAUUUUUAUUGUUUUUUGUGGACUUGACCACAAAACUUCAAAAGACUCGGAAGAAAAUUAAACAAAUAUUAUGCACAAUUUCGCACCACUCAAUGCC
rnacentral:lncRNA from 1 species